AAAUGCCAUCAGGUAUCUAAUGCUCAGUCAAUCUGAUGGCUUAGCAUCUCGUAAGUGUGGCAGAGAUGUAGAAAGCAGGUCUUGCGACACAGAUAGUUCUAUUCUUUGAGCUUCCUGUUACUAAAUCCCUGCUUACAUUU